UACGUAGGGGCAAGCGUUGUCCGGAUUUAUUGGGCGUAAAGAGCGUGUAGGCGGCCAAGCAGGUCCGCUGUGAAAACUCGAGGCUCAACCUCGAGACGUCGGUUGAAACCAUCUGGCUAGAGUCCGGAAGAGGAGAGUGGAAUUCCCGGUGUAGCGGUGAAAUGCGCAGAUAUCGGGAAGAACACCCGUGGCGAAGGCGGCUCUCUGGGACGGUACUGACGCUGAGACGCGAAAGCGUGGGGAGCGAACAGG
rnacentral:rRNA from 1 species